GAUGAACGCUGGCGGCGUGCCUAAUACAUGCAAGUCGAGCGAACAGAUGAGGAGCUUGCUCCUCUGACGUUAGCGGCGGACGGGUGAGUAACACGUGGAUAACCUACCUAUAAGACUGGGAUAACUUCGGGAAACCGGAGCUAAUACCGGAUAAUAUAUUGAACCGCAUGGUUCAAUAGUGAAAGACGGUUUUGCUGUCACUUAUAGAUGGAUCCGCGCCGCAUUAGCUAGUUGGUAAGGUAACGGCUUACCAAGGCAACGAUGCGUAGCCGACCUGAGAGGGUGAUCGGCCACACUGGAACUGAGACACGGUCCAGACGACUACGGGAGGCAGCAGUAGGGAAUAUUCCGCAAUGGGCGAAAGCCUGACGGAGCAACGCCGCGUGAGUGAUGAAGGUCUUCGGAUCGUAAAACUCUGUUAUUAGGGAAGAACAAAUGUGUAAGUAACUAUGCACGUCUUGACGGUACCUAAUCAGAAAGCCACGGCUAACUACGUG
rnacentral:rRNA from 1 species